rnacentral:rRNA from 1 species
UACAGAGGGUGCUAGCGUUGUCCGGAUUUAUUGGGCGUAAAGAGCGUGUAGGCGGCUAGGUAGGUCCGUUGUGAAAACUCGAGGCUCAACCUCGAGACGUCGAUGGAAACCAUCUAGCUAGAGUCCGGAAGAGGAGAGUGGAAUUCCUGGUGUAGCGGUGAAAUGCGCAGAUAUCAGGAAGAACACCCGUGGCGAAGGCGGCUCUCUGGUACGUGACUGACGCUGAGACGCGAAAGCGUGGGGAGCGAACAGG